GUGGUUCAGCAGUGAAGAACUCUUGCUGUUCUUGCAGAAGAGCUCUCUGGGUUAUGUUCCCAGGACCCAUGUGGUGGCUCACAACCAUCCAUAAAAUGAGUUCCAGGAAAUCUGAUGUACUUAGGACUUCUUCAAGCACCAGGCAAACACGUGGUAAAAUGCAUACAGUCAAAGCAUACACAUUGCAUAAUUUCUACUACAUUCUUUUCUUCCUGCAACUCCUUCUAUGCCCCCAACACACACUCUAAGAUAGAUAGAUAGAAAGAAAUUAAAUAAUUAAGAAAUUGAAAGAAAGAAAG
rnacentral:lncRNA from 1 species